UGCUAAGGUGGAAGUGAAAGACCCCCGGAACGGGGAGACCCUCACUCAAGUCUCCGGAUGAUGCGACCCCCCAAGAACUCACGUGAGACC
rnacentral:pre_miRNA from 14 species